rnacentral:lncRNA from 1 species
GAUAGGAUAGGAUAGUGUUUGGCUGGGUUUGGGCUGGAUGUGUCUGGUCAGUCCCUCAUGUGCACAGACCAGUCAGUGGGGACCCAGACUGGCUUCUUUAUGUGGCUCCCACCCUUUUAAUGGAGCUCAUCCUCACGAUUGGGGGGUGGAUAUCUCUUGAGAAAAUCUGCCAUGAUGCGUUUAGUUUGGCGGAUAUCUUACUAUGUCACAGCUGUGUUUCUGUUGGAUAUUGUUGAGUGUGUGUUAAGUGUGCAUGUGUGUGUAUAUAUAUUUAUGUGUGAGGUGUGCCUGUGUGUUUUAAUCAUACACAGUGUGUGUAUGAUGUACAGUGGGACAUUCCAGCCCUGUCACAGGGGUCAAAUGAUGUGAAUGUGAGCCAGCUAGCUACAGUGUAUCUCUCCAUCUCCCCAUUUCAUAAACCCUCUCAGGUUUGGAAAGGCAUUGUGGUGGCGGAAUUUGGGGUGAGCUGUUGUAACUUCUCAAGGUUUAUGCUCUGUGCUGUGUUGAACUGUGACAAACUGCAUUUCAUAGACUGUUGCACCCUAACACAAGGCCAUUGGGUUCUGGAACUGUUGCUUGUAUAAAAUAACUGCUGUAUAACCGAUAUGAUUGUAUUAUCACCUCCCUUUAUACGAGGGACAUCCAACCAUCUCCCCUCCGAGUCCUUCCCUGAUCUGUGAUCAGAGAGACAGCUCUCCCCUACAGCUGCUUGUAUUAAAGAUUUUCUAUACCUUAAAUAGUCUCUGCCUCGAUCUUUGGAUCAUCGAUAGAAUGAAUGCAUUAGUAGUCUAGUUAACAGUGGUAAAGUUGUCUGUUUCGUUUAAGGCCUGGGGAGAAAAUGCAAACUCCCAAACAGUGGAAAGAUUGGUCCUGUCCAAAUGUCAUCAGUUUGACCGGUUUUAAGGAAAUGAAAGCUGAGAAAACCAAACACGUUUCUGAUAAGACUUCAGUUUGUCUGGGUACAUACUGUAUUUUAUGUGGUUGAAAUACUGUCUGCUUGCAUAACAGUGUCAAAGACAACACAUUACACACUCAUUCGCAUGCUGAAAUAAAUAAAUCAUAUUUCUCCAUUCCUGUUACUGAGACAAAAUUAACAAUUAUUUUAUAAUUUCAUAGCCUAAUUCUGCAGGAGUUAAUAUUAUAUUACUCUACAUGUGAGAAGUUAUAGGCCUACUGUCAUUGUCUAUAUUUCAGUUACUGUUCCAUUUAAUCCAUACUUAAAUUAGGAAUAUUCUGUUAAUUCAUGGAUACAAUGAUACUCAUGAUAAGGAUAUAAAAGUUGCAUGUAAACUGCUUAUCCCGAAUAAGAUCUUAAACGGGAUAUGAGCUACUAUCCGGAAUACUGUACACACGUCAAUGUGGUCAAUGUUGUCUAUCCAUCCUCAGUUUUCUCAUAUCACAACCAUUCAACUCUGUAACCAUUGGCCUCAUGGUGAAAUCCCUUUGGCAUUAUGGGGUGUUGUGUGUGUAUAGAUCAGUUUUAUUCAAGCUGGAACACAACAAAAUGUGGACAAAAUAAAUCCUUUCUGAAGGCACCGCAUAUACUGUAUCUAGUCAAGGCUCAUCCUAACUACUGCUGCACACACCUUUUCUAUUCAUAUACUGUCCAUACACACCAUCAUGUACAUAUAUUCCGAGUGUACAAAACAUUAGGAACACCUGCUCUUUUCACCACCGACCAGGUGAAUCCAAGUGAAAGCUAUGGUCCUUUAUUGAUAUUACUUGUUAAAUCCACCUCAAUCAGUGUAGGUAAAGGGGAGGAGACAGGUCAAAUAAAGGCUUUGUAAGCCUUGAGACAAUAGAGACAUGGAUUGUGUAUGUGUGCCAUUCAGAGGGUGAAUGGGCAAGCCAAAAGAUUUAAGUGCCUUUGAACGGGGUAUGGUAGGAGGUGACCGGCACACAGGUUUGAGUGUGUCAAGAACUGCAACGCUGCUGAGGUUUUCACGCUCAACGGUUUUCCGUGUAUAUCAAGAAUGGUCCACCACCCAAAGGACAUCCAGCCAACUUAACACAACUGUGGGAAGCAUUGGAGUCAACAUGGACUAGCAUCCCUGUAGAAUGCUUUCAACACCUUGUAGAGUCCAUGUCCCAAUGAAUUGAGGCUGUUCUGAACGAAAAAGGGGUGCAAUUCAAUAUUAGGAAGGUGUUCCUAAUGUUUUGUACAGUCAGUGUAUAUUUAUAUUCCGGACUCUGACAUUGCUCGUUCUUUUUAUUUUUGGGAUUAGUGUGUAUUGUUUUGUAUUGUUAGGUAUUACUGUACUGUUGGAGCUAGAAACAAAAGCAUUUUGCUGCACCUGAGAUAACAUCUACAAAAUGUCUGAUUAUGCACGGCGUGAUGCCAUGAUGCCUAAUAUAUAUGGAACUACCCUGACAUGGUUAACCUUUAGUUGGGAAUGGGGAUCAAUGUGUCCAGCUCAGCCCCCACCGCCUGCACCCACCCAGACAUUGGACAGUUAUCUGUUUGCUGCAGUUAUUUUGUCCUUAGCUGACCUUCCGGUUAAGAUGUAGGGGCGACAGGUAGCCUAGAAGGGGCGGCAGGUAGCCUAGUAGGGGCGGCAGGUAGCCUAGUAGGGGCGGCAGGUAGCCUAGUAGGGGCGGCAGGUAGCCUAGUAGGGGCGGCAGGUAGCCUAGUAGGGGCGGCAGGUAGCCUAGUGGUUAGAGCGUUGGACUAGUAACCAAAAGGUUGCAAGAUCAAAUCCCUGAUCUGACAAGGUAAAAAUCUGUCGUUUUACUGAACAAGGCAGUUAACCCACUGUUCCUAGGCCUUCUUUGAAAAGAAGAAUUUGUUCUUAACUGACUUGCCUAGUUUAAAUAAAGGUUAAAAAAAUGUAUGCCUACUUUCUUUGAGAUCUACCUUCCCCCCUCUGAAAUGAGAACUUGACAUGCUUUUCUCAUCUCAAUGGCCAGCUGAUACAAGCAUUCCUACAGCUCUAUGCUGAUGUUGAUUCAUGUUGUAGCUCAUUACAGUAAAACUCUCUGUGCCAAUUUGGAAUGGUAUUUCCCCAAAAAAGAAAGGCUCUGUCAAAAUGAUACAUUUCCUUCGGUGAUAAAAGCACCUGAUCCUAGGCUAGCAAACUGACAGCCUAUAUUGUGUUCCUGAUGAAAGAUCUCUUUUAUAAUCUGUUCUCUUCUCCGCCCUCCACACUGCAACUACAGAUCUGUUGAAACAAACUGAGGGUCUGAGAGGUUGCUUUCUCAGGGCUAAACAGAGUGAGAACACAGCCAGACAGUUCUAGAUUCCCCUGACUCUGCAGAUAUCCCGCCUGCACUUUAGCAGCCGUUGUUCCCACCUCAUUGACUCCAUGCUUUAGAAAACUGAGAUUAGCCGAUUGGGAUUCUGUUCUAAGCCUUAUUGUUUGGCCUCAGGACUACAGUGUAACAUUUUUGGAGCUCAAGAGAUUCCACUUAGAACUCUAUGGAUUUCUCCAUUGAUUUCAAUCAUUACAUGCAUCUCCACUGUCAUUAAAGGUUCAGAUGUGUCCAUAUGGUGACUGUUAUUGUAUAGUCAAGGGAGUGAAUGACAUUGCCAUUUAAAUGAUUUCAUAUUUGUCUCCUGG